CACAGAAGCCAGAACAGCAAGAAGGAUUGCUGCUUUCACUACAUAGUGAUCCCUCUUGCUGUUCUGGCUUCUGAG
rnacentral:miRNA from 1 species